rnacentral:tRNA from 1 species
ACCAGGAUGGCCGAAAGUGGUUAAGGCGCUGGACUUAAGAUCCAAUGGAUAUUAUGUCGCGGGUUCGAACCCCCUCCUGGUA